CCUACGGGGGGCAGCAGUAGGGAAUAUUGCUCAAUGGGGGAAACCCUGAAGCAGCAACGCCGCGUGGAGGAUGAAGGUUUUCGGAUUGUAAACCCCCUUUGUUAGAGAAGAUAAUGACGGUAUCUAACGAAUAAGCACCGGCUAACUCCGUGCCAGCAGCCGCGGUUAUACGGCGGGAGCAAGCGUUAAUCGGAAUCACUGGGCGUGAAGAGCGCGUAGGCGGGAUAGCAAGUCAGAUGUGAAAUUCUAUGGCUUAACCAUAGAACUGCAUUUGAAACUGUGAUUCUAGAGUAUGGGAGAGGUAGGUGGAAUUCGUGGUGUAGGGGUAAAAUCCGUAGAGAUCAAGAAGAAUACUGAUUGCGAAGGCGGCCUGCUAGAACAUAACUGACGCUGAUGCACGAAAGCGUGGGGAGCAAACAGGAUUAGAUACCCGGGUAGUC
rnacentral:rRNA from 1 species